rnacentral:rRNA from 1 species
AUUGAACGCUGGCGGCAGGCUUAACACAUGCAAGUCGAGCGAGCGGCGGAGGGGUGAGUAAUAUCUGGGAAACUGCCUCAUGGAGGGGGAUAACUACUGGAAACGGUAGCUAAUACCGCAUACCAUCAGAUGUGCCCAGAUGGGAUUAGCUAGUAGGUGGGGGAACGGCUCACCUAGGCGACGAUCCCUAUCUGGUCUGAUAGGAUGACCAGCCACACUGGAACUGAGACACGGUCCAGACUCCUACGGGAGGCAGCAGUGGGGAAUAUUGCACAAUGGGCGCAAGCCUGAUGCAGCCAUGCCGCGUGUGUGAAGAAGGCCUUCGGGUUGUAAAGCACUUUCAGCGGGGAGGCGUUACUCGCAGAAGAAGCACCGGCUAACUCCGUGCCAGCAGCCGCGGUAAUAC